rnacentral:rRNA from 1 species
AUUGAACGCUGGCGGCAGGCUUAACACAUGCAAGUCGAGCGGGGGAGGUUGCUUCGGUAACUGACCUAGCGGCGGACGGGUGAGUAAUGCUUAGGAAUCUGCCUAUUAGUGGGGGACAACAUUCCGAAAGGGAUGCUAAUACCGCAUACGCCCUACGGGGGAAAGCAGGGGAUCUUCGGACCUUGCGCUCAUAGAUGAGCCUAAGUCGGAUUAGCUAGUUGGUGGGGUAAAGGCCUACCAAGGCGACGAUCUGUAGCGGGUCUGAGAGGAUGGUCCGCCACACUGGGACUGAGACACGGCCCAGACUCCUACGGGAGGCAGCAGUGGGGAAUAUUGGACAAUGGGCGGAAGCCUGAGCCAGCCAUGCCGCGUGUGUGAAGAAGGCCUUUUGGUUGUAAAGCACUUUAAGCGAGGAGGAGGCUCUUAAGGUUAAUACCCUUGAUGAGUGGACGUUACUCGCAGAAUAAGCACCGGCUAACUCUGUGCCAGCCGCCGCGGUAAAAC